rnacentral:rRNA from 1 species
GAUGAACGCUGGCGGCGUGCCUAAUACAUGCAAGUCGAACGGAAAGGCCCUGCUCUUGUGGGGUGCUCGAGUGGCGAACGCGGGUGUAUCACGCGUGUAACCCCUACUUGACUUUGGGAUAAAAUCAGGAAAAUGGGGCUAAAACAGCGUAGGAGCUCUUGCUGCACGGGGGGGGUUGGAAAGUUUCGGCGGUUCGGGAUGGAAUGGCGGCUUAUCAGCUUGUUGGGGGGGUAGUGGCUUACCAAGGUUAUGACGGGUAGCCGGCCUGAGAGGGUGACCGGCCACAAUGGUACUGAGGUACGGCCCAGACUGGUACGGGAGGCAGAAGUGGGGAGUCUUGCGCAAUGGCCGGACGCCUGAUGCAGCGACGCCGCGUGCGGGAUGCCGGCUUUCGGGUGAUGAACCACUUUCGCCUGUAACGAGGCGUGAGUGACGGUAAUGGGUAAAAAAGCAACGGCUAACUACGUG